UGGACGGAGUUACUUCAUGACUGAAUUUAGCGGAGAUAAGACAACUGGAUGGAUCGACGUGGCAGAUCGUAUGUCGGGUGGCGAGAAAACUGCUAGAGGGUCGUCAGCAUUCGGUCUCUCGAAAGCGUCGCCGUCGCGUUCGGUGUGUUUCUUGGAUUGCCGGAGGAAAAGUGAUGGACGCAGAGCUUGAGUAGUUGUUCAUCUGAUGCGCUGAUGGACGAGAGGACGAUUGUAGUGAAUGGAAGGGUUACAUCAUCACUCGAGGGGAUCUGAAACCUGACCCGGAGAAGGUCUGAGCCGUGGUGGACUGGCCUCAACCUCCUAACCGUCUACAACUCCAGCGUUUUCUAGGAUUUGCCAACUUCUAUCAGCGUUUCAUCAAAGACUACAAACAAAAUUAUGGCAUUGGAGACAGGGAGUUGCUAGCGGUCAAACUGGCCCUGGAGGAAUGGAGGCACUGGCUAGAGGACGCAGAACAUCCUUUCAUCGUGUGGACCGACCAUAAGAACUUGGAAUACAUCCGGUCCGCCAAACACCUAAACUCCCGGCAAAUUUGGGCUCUUUUCUUCGCUAGAUUUAAUUUCUCUUUCUCUUACCUACAGACCAGGGUCCCGUAAUGUGAAGCCCGAUGCGCUCUCCCACCAGUUUACUAGCACUGAGGGAUGCUCUGAUCCUGAACCAGUUCUUCCGGCCACCUGUGUAGUUGGAGCUGUCACAUGGGAAAUCGAAACCCUCGUUCGGGAAGCCCAGGGCACUGACCCAGGAUCGGCGUCAGAAAGAAUCAUUUCUGAAAACUAAAAUGAAGAAUCAUUUCAUUUUAGUUUUCAUACAGCUAUCCAUACCCAAUAGUCAAAGUUAUAAAGAUCAGACAUAAAAAAAGAAGA